UCCUGCCCAGUGAAUUUUCAACGGCCGCGGUAUUCUAACCGUGCAAAGGUAGCAUAAUCAUUUGCCCAUUAAUUGUGGGCUAGAAUGAACGGAUCAACGAAAUAAAGACUGUCUCUAUAAAUAAAAUAAAAAUUAAUCUUUAGCUGAAGAGUGCUAAAUAAAAUCGAAGGACAAGAAGACCCUAUAGAGCUUUAUUUAAAUUAAGGUAUCUAUUCCUUUAUUAAAUUCGGUUGGGGCGACCAAGGAUAUAAUAAUCAUCCUUAAACAAAAGAUUUAUUAAUCCAAUAAAGACCCUUAAAUAAGAACAAAAAAACAAGCUACCUUAGGGAUAACAGGCUAAUCCCAUUAAAGAGCCCUUAUCAAUAAUGGGGGUUGGCACCUCGAUGUUGGCUUAGGGACACAAUGUGGCGCAAAAGUCACAUAAAGAUGGUUUGUUCAACCAAUAAAACCCUACAUGAGCUGAGUUCAGACCGGCGUAAGCCAGGUUAGUUUCUAUCCACGAUAAAAUAAUCUAUUUAUAGUACGAAAGGACCUAGAUAUGAGCAAUUUUUGUAAGAGUAAGACUAAAUAUAAAUAAAACUAAUUUAAUUUUAAUAAACACUAUAUAGUGAGUUGGCAGAAUAGUGCCACUGAUUUAGGAUCAGUAAAUGGGUAGACCACUCACUAGUUGCAAUUUAGUUUAUUUAGAACGGUCAACUUGCACUUGAAAAGAAAGGUAACUUAGUAGCGGCUUGACGUUUUGGAAACCUUAGACCUUGAACGUCUUUUAUAGAUGUUCGACUCAU
rnacentral:rRNA from 1 species